rnacentral:rRNA from 1 species
UACGUAGGGGGCAAGCGUUAUCCGGAAUUACUGGGUGUAAAGGGUGAGUAGGCAGCAUGGUAAGCCAGAUGUGAAAGCCUUGGGCUUAACCCGAGGAUUGCAUUUGGAACUAUCAAGCUAGAGUACAGGAGAGGAAAGCGGAAUUCCUAGUGUAGCGGUGAAAUGCGUAGAUAUUAGGAAGAACACCAGUGGCGAAGGCGGCUUUCUGGACUGAAACUGACGCUGAGGCACGAAAGCGUGGGGAGCGAACAGG